rnacentral:lncRNA from 1 species
AGGGUUCAUGAUUUCUUAGAAGGACAGUUUUUUCCAACGCAAAUGGACCGCAUGGCUCUUCGUCAUGAAGGUGGCAGUUUCGUGGAGUCGGAGUAUAUGCUGUAUUACCACAAAAAUGGUGGCUGCGCCGUUAUUAGAGUGAAGACACAAAACAAAGAUGGACGUCCCAUUUACGACCUUCGAGUUAAGGAUUCCUACAUACGCCAAGGACCUAGUGCCAAAUGCGUUGUCGAAUUCGUAAAAUAUAGGAUCCAAGAACAGACUAUUUAUCAGAGGGAAUGCAAGGGCAGAUUUGCUGACAAUGGAAAGUGAUUCCCUGUAUGACUGAGGAAGAAGCCGUGAAUAUAAAUAUUUAACAAAGUG